rnacentral:rRNA from 1 species
AUUGAACGCUGGCGGCAGGCCUAACGCAUGCAAGUCGAGCGGGGUUUUCGGACCUAGCGGCGGACGGGUGAGUAAUGCGUAGGAAGCUACCCGAUAGAGGGGGAUACCAGUUGGAGACGACUGUUAAUACCGCAUAAUGUCUACGGACCAAAGUGUGGGACCUUCGGGCCACAUGCUAUCGGAUGCGCCUACGUGGGAUUAGCUAGUUGGUGGGGUAAUGGCUCACCAAGGCGACGAUCCCUAGCUGGUUUGAGAGGAUGAUCAGCCACACUGGAACUGAGACACGGUCCAGACUCCUACGGGAGGCAGCAGUGGGGAAUAUUGGACAAUGGGCGCAAGCCUGAUCCAGCCAUGCCGCGUGUGUGAAGAAGGCCUUCGGGUUGUAAAGCACUUUCAGUAGGGAGGAAGGGUGUUGUGUUAAUAGCACAGCAUUUUGACGUUACCUACAGAAGAAGCACCGGCUAACUCUGUGCCAGCAGCCGCGGUAAGAC